GACAGAGGUGCCGAGCGUUAGGCGGAAUCACUGGGCUUAAAGCGUGUGUAGGCGGGUCGUUAAGUGUCUUGUGAAAUCCCACCGCUCAACGGUGGAACCGCUGGGCAUACUGGCGAUCUUGAGCAGUCCAGGGGCGAGCGGAACAAGCGGUGGAGCGGAUGAAAUGCGUAGAUAUCGCUUGGAACGCCGACGGUGAAAACAGCUCGCUGGGGACUCGCUGACGCUGAGACACGAAAGCCAGGGGAGCGAACGGG
rnacentral:rRNA from 1 species